GGAGAGAUGGCUCAGUGGUUAAGAGCGCUGCCUGCUCUUUCAGAAGACCUGGGUUCAAUUCCCAGCACCC
rnacentral:tRNA from 1 species